AUGGGCUCCUCCCAAGAUGUGCAUGCCUUCUGCUCCCAGUUGUAUGCCUCUCCUCAUCAAAGGUACGAAGCUCUACAUUUUUUAUAUAUUAAUUUUCAUCUUGAUUUCAAUUUGUUACCUGCAGAGAUGCAUGCUGAAGCAAAGCAAUUUAUGAGCUGACCAUGGAUUUGGCUUAGAAGUUGGCUCAAAGCUUGGGAUUGAUAACUGAUUUGCUCCAGGCAUGUCCUUGCCAAUUUAGGAUCAACAAG
rnacentral:misc_RNA from 1 species